rnacentral:rRNA from 1 species
GGCUCAGAUUGAACGCUGGCGGCAGGCUUAACACAUGCAAGUCGAGCGGGGGAAGGUAGCUUGCUACCGGACCUAGCGGCGGACGGGUGAGUAAUGCUUAGGAAUCUGCCUAUUAGUGGGGGACAACAUCUCGAAAGGGAUGCUAAUACCGCAUACGUCCUACGGGAGAAAGCAGGGGAUCUUCGGACCUUGCGCUAAUAGAUGAGCCUAAGUCGGAUUAGCUAGUUGGUGGGGUAAAGGCCUACCAAGGCGACGAUCUGUAGCGGGUCUGAGAGGAUGA